rnacentral:lncRNA from 1 species
ACUUUUCUCCGACUGUCCCCCAUCUCCCACUCAUGAAAUCGAGGAUCUGCAGCAAUGGCGCUGAGAUCCCCACUCCUCCAUCUCCCUCUCUCUCUCGCUCUGUCUCUCUCUCUAUCGAAGGCAUGGCCUCCCAUCCCCGAAACCCUCACUGAAUGACAGCAAACCUAAACCCACCCCAAUCCGUCUCAAACAAACAGGACAAAAUUGCCCUUCCAACCCAG